UACGAAGGGGGCUAGCGUUGCUCGGAAUCACUGGGCGUAAAGGGUGCGUAGGCGGGUCUUUAAGUCAGGGGUGAAAUCCUGGAGCUCAACUCCAGAACUGCCUUUGAUACUGAAGAUCUUGAGUUCGGGAGAGGUGAGUGGAACUGCGAGUGUAGAGGUGAAAUUCGUAGAUAUUCGGAGGAACACCAGUGGCGAAGGCGGACUCACUGGCCGGUACUGACGCUGAGGUGCGAAAGCGUGGGGAGCAAGCAGGGAGUUAAGAACCGGGUCAGUACCGUC
rnacentral:rRNA from 1 species